AACAAUUAUUCUUCCUGUUUUUAUAGAUCCAUGCUGUAUUGUGUGUAGCUUUGUAUGAUUGUUAGUAUGGUAUGCAUUUGUAUGUUUUAUUGUUAAUCUGAUCUCAUUUUUGUCUGUUGCAUCCGAUCAUACAGGUAACUUCUUUAUUUAUGUUAGACACUGUCAGAUAUUUAAACUAAACCUACUUCUGAGACACAAUCAUUUUGUAAUAUAUUAUCUUGCAUGAAUUGUUUUCUUCACUAAGUCUGGAAGAAGUAGACACCAAGCUCUGGAAGACCUGCCUUCAACCAGCUCCCCUUACAUUUAUAUUUGGUAAGAAAUCAAAAACUGUGGUCACAUCAGAAACUCCCAUGAAUCAGAGUAGAGUAAAUUUGAUUGAAGAAUUCGGUCGUGAGUUAAUCAAAUCUAUCAGUUGUCUUUAGUAAAGUCUUAUGAGAUCAUAAUAAAUCAGGAUGUAUUUAAUGUUAGUGUUUUAUUUACACCAGUACGAUCCAGUAUACAGAGUUAAAUGUUAUUCUCUCAUACUGGGACUUUACUCACAAGUGGUCUGUACCUUUUCCUUUGGACAGGAUAACAUCCCCCAAACUACAUUACCCAGGAGGCAAUUUCUUCCCAUUCAGGAUUGGAACCAAAUUCUAUACAAGAACAUUUUAUUCCUCCAUUUUAGAUGUCUGCCAUUCCAUUUUGGACAUCUUUAAAUGCAUCAACUGCAGAGGACAGACUAUGUAUAUUGACCAGAAGAAGGAUGAUCAUCUCUUGGCUCUUGGAAGAGCCCCUUCAGUAACAUGUGUCUCUCUGCGUAGCUCUCAGAAGUUACAUGUAGAUCAACGUCAGCUUGGUCAAAUACAAAGAAAAACUGAAGAGUUUAUAGAUUUUCUAAGAACUCCAAAAAUAACAAAUGCAAACUCAGAACAUAUUAUUACUCUUGCAGGAGAAUUAAAUCCACAAGAUUGGCCUAAGUCAGAUUCCCACCAUUACCAAUAUGGAUGUGCAAUUGCGAUAAUGGAAAGAGGCAAAUUCAAAAUAAUCAGUGAGAUUCGGCCAGAUUUCGAAGCCAUGAAGGAAGCUACAAAGGAAGAUAAAUCAAAAUUUCACUCUGAGCAAUUAUUAAUUGAAGAAAGCAAUGUCUUUCUGAAGAAUAAUGGGACCAAAGUACAUGCCCUUAUAAUUUACACGUACAAUAGUCCAUGUUUAGAAAAAAAUGGCUGCAUGGAAAAACUGGCAGAUCAGUCUUACAAAUGGCUGAAAGAGUACGGAAUUCAUACUUAUGUGCCGUUUACGCAGUAUUUUCCUCUAAAAUGCAUCGCCAAUCUAAAGAAUAUUUUCCCUGCAUAUUUUACAAGAUGCAAACAAAUUCCCUUCAAACUGAAACCCAAACAAAAGGGUAAAAAUAUGUAUAAAGACGCCUAUAGCAUGAUUACACAGGUUGAUAGAUCAAAGCGAAAGGAAUUACUAAAACAGAUCACUUCCGCUGUGAAAUCCCUAAACCUUGACAUCAAAGAUGUUCUCGCAACAUAUGAAAAACAUAUGGACAGAGCCAAGGAAAUUAUUGAUCUGGUCAAGUUUAAUUUACUUUCAGUACGUCAUCCUCUUACUAACAUUUGGGAAAAAAGAGUUGAAGAGAACUUUAAGGCACAUGCAAAUAAAACAGUCAGGACUCAUAUUACACCUGCAGUCGUUCAAGAUGUUCAAAAACAACAUCAUGACAUUCUGGGGAGCAGCAGCCCUUUCCACCUUCAGCAGAUCCCUUUUAUGUUAAAUAGAUCAUCAUCCAGGGAGGAUAUUGAACGAGCCAUGAGUUUUUUUGUGCUUUAGUGCCACUCUUAUGACCUAGCAUGAAAUAUUUGAUUGGUUUGAAUUGGCAUUUUUAUGUCUUUAUCAAUAAUAUGAUAUAAUUUUUAUGGACCAGAGUGGAUCAUACUAUUUGGAAACAAUAUUAAAAAAUCUUUUUAAAAACA